rnacentral:misc_RNA from 1 species
AACGCACACUGCGCCCCUUGGUAUUCCGAGGGGCAUGCCCGUUCGAGCGUCAUUUCACCAAUCAAGCCUGGCUUGGUGUUGGGCCCCGGGGGUGACCCGGACCCGCAAGUCCUCGGCUGGACCGCUCCGAUCGCAGCGUCGUGGUUUAUCAAUUCGCUGGCGAGAAGGGGGGCCUACGCCGUCAAAAUUCAUCUCAGGUUGACCUCGGAUCGGGUAGGGAUACCCGCUGAACUUAA